UACGGAGGGAGCUAGCGUUGUUCGGAAUUACUGGGCGUAAAGCGCACGUAGGCGGCGAUUCAAGUCAGGGGUGAAAUCCCGGGGCUCAACCUCGGAACUGCCUUUGAUACUGAAGAUCUUGAGUUCGGGAGAGGUGAGUGGAACUGCGAGUGUAGAGGUGAAAUUCGUAGAUAUUCGGAAGAACACCAGUGGCGAAGGCGGCUCACUGGUCCGGUACUGACGCUGAUGUGCGAAAAGCGUGGGGAGCAAACAGG
rnacentral:rRNA from 1 species